CAGCCCGCGGAGCAUGCCGGGGGCUACCCGCGCUGCGGCCGUCUCAGAGCGCGCUGGCGGGGUUCAGCGCCCAGGCGAGCUGGAGACGCCCUGAUAGAGAGGCUGCCGCGGCACCGAGAGGGCCGGCCCGGGGUCGGCGCGACACCUUUAGAACAGGGCUUCCGUAUUGUCUCAGCCUCCACUGGAAAUGCAGCAAGGAUUCCUAGCACAUCCCAGUUGCCAUAGCAACAGCAGUCUUUCCCAUAAUGAGCUGCAUCAUCUGAACUGAUGUCACAGCAUCAUGCAGCAGGUCAAACAAGGCAUCUCCUAGUAUUGCAUCCUACAGAUGUGCUGUAAACAUCAAAAGAAGACGGUGGGAUCAGGAAAUGUUGUUUUGGAAAGAAGUAAGGUUUAGACUUCUCCAUGUUAACCAUGAGCGUGACACUUUCCCCACUGAGGUCACAGGACCUGGAUCCCAUGGCUACUGAUGCUUCACCCAUGGCCAUCAACAUGACACCCACUGUGGAGCAGGGUGAGGGAGAAGAGGCAAUGAAGGACAUGGACUCUGACCAGCAGUAUGAAAAGCCACCCCCACUACACACAGGGGCUGACUGGAAGAUUGUCCUCCACUUACCUGAAAUUGAGACCUGGCUCCGGAUGACCUCAGAGAGGGUCCGAGACCUAACUUAUUCAGUCCAGCAAGAUUCAGACAGCAAGCAUGUGGAUGCUCAUCUAGUUCAACUAAAGGUAAGGCAAGGUCUGUGAUACUCUCAGGAUAGAAGUUUUCAAAAGGCGGUGGCACCUACAGCCUGAGUUCUGUAAUUUCCAAUGAGGAAUUGUUCAGGAAAAAAAGUACGGUAACAGAUUUCAAACCAUUAUCUUUAUAGGUAAACAUGGAAAGAAAUAA